AAUGUUAAAGAUAAUACAACCGGGUCCAUUCAAAACGAAUGCAGACGGUUGUAUUAUCAGUAACGAAAGCGUUUUUCUGAACCCUGCCGUAUCCAGCAAAAAACGCUAGUGUGAAAGAAGCCUUAGCAAGGUACUGGCUCUCCUUAACCCCUCCCCACCUAGUGCUGUUCCUGUACAGCACAGGGUGCAUCUGUAAAGAUGGUGCCCACUUGUAGGUGUAAUAGCUGAUGGGUGCCUGCUGUUUUAAACAGACACCCAUGGCUAAUGUAUGGGAUCAAAUCUGACCACGGCACCUGGGUGCACAAAAGCCUAAAGUGUGCAGUCCAGCUCCCCCUAGUGAGGAUCAGUGGAGCUCGACAGUGUCUGCGACAGCCUCAGCCCUCCUGAAUGAUCUGCGGCUGCUGCACGCAGCUGCCCCAUAGUGUAAGUCUCAGACCCAAAGGUUAAUGCAGUGGGGUCUAAAGAAAUCUGAUUGCGCUUCUUUAAAGGGGUUCUGCACUUUGUUUAAACUGAUGAUCUAUCCUGUGGAUAGAUCAUCAGCAUCUGAUCGGUGGGGGUCCGACACCUGUGCAGAACCCCUUUAAGUCCUCUUGGGAAACUAUCAAAGUAAAAAAAGUUUUAAAAAUUUAUAUUGCCUUAUUUCCCAAAAAUAAUCAGUAGCAUCACCACGUGCAAAAACACCCGUAACUAUUAAAAUAUUUAUCCAAAACAGUGAAACGAGAAUAGUCGAAAUGGCUGAUUUGCAAUUUUUCCGUUUCAUCCACCAUGACUGCUACAAAUGAGAUUGACCUCUAUAGGGACAGGAAAUACAGAGUGUUUAGGAAGCCCACUCCCACCCUCUGUUUUUCCUGUUCCUAAGGGGGUAGGAGCACAGAGUAACUCCUACAGGGGUGAGAAGAGUUUCUUCCUUUUUUAUUUUUCUUAAAAAACAAACAAUUGGCUUACCAAUCUCCUCAGCCCUCCCGCAGCUUAUGCCAAAGCUGGGCUGGAGAGGUUAAUGUGGACCUCAUCUCCAACUUGGGAGGCCUGGUUUUCACUGGGGCCAGAGGUGGUCUUCCUUCCCAUCUUUUAGUAGAAGCAGACUGGCAGGUGAAAGGACGCCGAACAGGCCAGAGUCUUCGCGGCAUUCUGCGCUUCUGGGGAGGCGUAUCGAAGCCCCUGCCUGACCACGUCGGCAUUGUGGAACCCAAAGAGAAGAUCCUGCCAACCACCCCCAUCUCUGAGCAGAAGGGAGCCAAGCCAGAGCAGCAGGCACAGCCCCCUGCCAUGCCCCAGCCUGUGCCCACCGCUUAAUGGAAUGCUCAACGCCAGGAUGUGAAGUUCUUGCAUUCUGCUCAAAUCUGUAAAAUAAAAAACACCCCAAAAAUGUA